rnacentral:rRNA from 1 species
AUUAGAGUUUGAUCCUGGCUCAGAACGAACGUUAGCGGUGUGGAUUAGGCAUGCAAGUCGCGCGCGAAAGCCUUCGGGCGAGUAAAGCGGCGAAAGGGUGAGUAACACGUAACCAACGUACCCUUCAGAUCGGGAUAACCACUGGAAACGGUGGAUAAUACCGAAUGGUCCCCCCGGAGACAUCUCCGGGACGGUAAACGGUGGCUUCGGCUGCUGCUGAGGGAGCGGGUUGCGGCCUAUCAGCUUGUUGGUGGGGUAACGGCCUACCAAGGCUACGACGGGUAGCGGGUCUGAGAGGAUGAUCCGUCACACUGGGACUGAGACACUGCCCAGACUCCUACGGGAGGCUGCAGUCGAGAAUCUUCCGCAAUGGGCGAAAGCCUGACGGAGCGACACCGCGUGCAGGAUGAAGGCCUUCGGGUUGUAAACUGCUGUCACGCAAUAGGAAUCGUUUGUCGUUAAUAGCGGCAAGCUUGACCACAGCGAGAGGAAGAGCCGGCUAACUCCGUGCCAGCAGCCGCGGUAAGACGGAGGGCUCUAACGUUGUUCGGAAUCACUGGGCAUAAAGCGCACGUAGGCGGCCUGUUAAGUCUGAUGUGAAAGCCCCCGGCUCAACCGGGGAACUGCAUCGGAAACUGGCAGGCUCGAGGACGGCAGGGGUAAGUGGAACUCCAGGUGGAACGGUGAAAUGUGUAGAUAUCUGGAGGAACACCGGUGGCGAAAGCGGCUUACUGGGCCGUCUCUGACGCUGAGGUGCGAAAGCUAGGGUAGCGAACGGGAUUAGAUACCCCGGUAGUCCUAGCCGUAAACGAUGGGCACUAGGCAAGGGGGGGGUUGGUUUCCCCUGCCGUGGCUAAUGUGUUAAGUGCCCCGCCUGGGGAGUACGGUCGCAAGGCUAAAACUCAAAGGAAUUGACGGGGGCUCACACAAGCGGUGGAGCAUGUUGCUUAAUUCGAUGCAACGCGAAGAACCUUAUCCUGGGCUUGACAUGCUUGGAUGCCCAUCUGGAAACAGAGUAGGCUGCCCUUCGGGGUGAAACUUGCACAGGUGCUGCAUGGCUGUCGUCAGCUCGUGUCGUGAGAUGUUGGGUUAAGUCCCGUAACGAGCGAAACCCUUAUCGUUAGUUGCCAGCGCGUCAUGGCGGGGACUCUAGCGAGACUGCCGGUGUGAAACCGGAGGAAGGUGGGGAUGACGUCAAGUCCUCAUGGCCUUUAUGCCCAGGGCUGCAAACGUGCUACAAUGGCUGGUACAAACCGACGCGAGACCGCGAGGUGGAGCAAAUCGGAAAAAGCCAGCCCCAGUUCGGAUUGGAGUCUGCAACUCGACUCCAUGAAGUUGGAAUCGCUAGUAAUCGCAGAUCAGCUACGCUGCGGUGAAUGUGUUCCUGAGCCUUGUACACACCGCCCGU